ACCUUCAUCCCCAUUUAACCUUUUAACUCCCCUCCUUUGUUUCCCAUGUAUUUUACCAUCCCUCUAAUUAUUUUUUGGAUUGCAAUUUUAUCUUGUCCUUUUGUUUUCCCUUUAGCAUAAACUACCUCCUGUCCAUCAAGCCUUGUCAAUACCCCCUUUUUCUCUUUCUUCCUGUUUUUCUCUCCUCCACAUACUGUUGAGGUCUGAGCAUAUGAAGUUUGAGGUCAGUUGAGAGAGGUCAGAGUAGUAUAGGUGUAGACUGACAUACUUUCUCCAUCAACACGGUGCUAAUAACUAGUCUUACUCUGGUUUUAUUUUCCUUUUUGCCUCCCACCCAUUCAUAGUAACUAAUGUACAAUUGUAUGCUUCAGUGUUAUCAACAUUCCUUUACUUCAUAAACGCUUAGCCAUUAGGUGUGAUUAUUUUUUACAACAACUGUGUUUUCAUAGUGGUCUAUCCAUUGAUAGUAAUUGUUUCUAAGACAGUCGUCUCUCACAAUAAUGCUGGCAUCCCAAAGAGUGUAGCAGGAAAAAAUGAAGCCUCAAUGUCACUACAAUCUCGAUUAUUUUGAAUAUUGUGAAUAUUUCGUUAUAUAAGCAUGAUUAAAAUUGUAGUUAAAAUUGUAAAUACAUAGAAUGGAGAAAGUGCAGGGAGAAUUUCAAGUAAAGCCAUCAAAUGAAACGCCAGGUUCAACAGUAACAGCAGAUUUGGCAGCAGAAACUUAAAUGCACAAGGUCUUGGACUGAUGUAUUCCAGAUCUUUAAAGAAUCUCGUAACGGAGACUACCAGCCCCCCCCCCCCCAAAAAAAAAAAAAACCUGUCUGUUAUCCUUGAAGAAGAACUAAUUUUUCCUGAUAACAGACUAUGACUUCUAAGCUGUAUCUUCAAAUAUCUGAACUACAUGAAGCACUCACUCCUUAAACUGAAAAGAUAAACACCCUCAGAAGCUGGAGGAAUACUAAAGCAUGCAAGAAUAAGUAGUUGAGCUAAUGAGAAAAGGCAAUGGACGAAAUCUUAUAAAACCAACAGUAUGACAGGCAGUAAUAUAAAACUUUUAAUAAUUCUGAAUAUCAACAGCUUUGGUUUCCUAAUUGAAAGGCACAAACUAGGAGGUUGGUUGAGAACGCAGACUCCAUCCGUCUUUCUGUUGCCCCUGAGAAGUGUGGCUCACCAUCAAAGGCUGCCUUACGACAGAAAGGGGCAAUGCCUACAGUACAGUCAGUGCAGCCAGCAAGCACACAGGCAAGUGUGCUGCUCCUGAUAGACUCACUUCAAGCCAGAGCUCAGGGGACAUGAGACAGCUACUUCAUGCUUUUUUAGAGAGACAUUCAUCAAGAGGACGUUAGAAUUUUCUGUUUUAAAACUUACAUUAUUUGGGAACUUCAUUAUUUGAGUACUGUCUUUAAGUCAUUUCCCUCAUUCUUCUUUUUCUAACCCUUCUUCCAACUACCUCACAAAUUAUUUUUCUUUAUUGUUACAUAUGUUAAUAUAAAUCUAUAAAUAGAAUCUGCUGAUUCCUUUUAGUGUAUCAUAUAUUAUAUAUUAUAUAAUCAUUUAUGUUUUAGGAUUAACCAAUUGAUACUAAAUAACAAAUUAGAAAGUUCUUCUGAAGGGAAGAAUGGUUCUUCUCCUCUCAGAAAUUAUUUCCUGCCUGUAGCUCUACAUCUAGGCAUAGUAGGGUCUUGUGGGAGUUCUCCCAUCCACGUUGGCAUGCCCAACUAAUGUCUGGUGUUAUCCUUGUUCAGGAGUGGUUAGGCAGCCACUUUGCUGAGAUUUUUAUGGGUUCAACUUUCCUGUCAUAUAUAGGAAACACAAUCUUACAAUCAUUCUGUCCUCUGCUCUGUGUUGUUCCUUGAGCCUUAGGUGUAGGGAAUGUGGUAUAGAUGUACCACUUGGGACUGGCACCCUGAGCUGCUUGCUAUCUGUGUCUUGACUAGUUUUGGAUUUCUGUAAUAGUCUGAGAUUCUUCUCCUUCAUUUUGCCUUCUCUGUAAUUUGAAGAUUUGGACUUUUUAUGAUGUCUCACAAUUUCCACAUGUUCCUUUCCAAUGCUUAAAUUUUUCAUAUUUUUUACUUAUUGGUCAAAUUCCUCUACUUUAUUCCCAGGUCUUGAUGUUGUUUCUGCUAUUUGAUACACUCUACUUUAAGACUUUCCCCUGAGGUUUUAGCUGGGUUAUUGACUUUCUCAAUUCCAUCUUCAUUUCUGUUUAAGUUCUUAUCAGCAUUUCUAUUUCUACUGAAUUGAGGUUCCAGAUGCUGGUUUGUCUUUGUCAUCUUAUUCAGCCAUACAUUUGUGUUUUCUUGUUCAAUUUUUUAGUCUUCACAUACUCAGUGUUGGUUUUGGACUAGAGAAAUGGUGUGUACUUGAGCAAUCCUCACACACUCUGGCAUAGCUCAGGUAACACAGCUUGCACAUGAGGCCAAACAGAUCCAGCUGUUUGGACCAGAGCCAUGCUUUCUCUCUUAACACACACUGAAUUGGAAUCCCUCCUUUCCUCUACUCCAAAAUCAAUACUGAGUAUGGAAAGGAUUUACUGGUCAGUUCUCGAUACCCAGUCUGAAAUCAAAAGAAAAGUGAACAAGACAAGGGUGGAGUUUAUUUUCAUUCUUUAUGCAACAUAGUACUCAAACUCUUAGCAAGAGUAAGGACAGAAGAGAAGGAAAUAAAAAUGAGAUAAGUAUGAAAGGAAGAAGUCAAAGUCUCCUUAUUUGGAAGAGGUUAGCUUCUACAUAAGAGAGCAAAAGGCUCCACCAGUAAAUUCUUAGAUCUGAUGAACAAUGCCAGCAAAAUGGAAAGAC
rnacentral:lncRNA from 1 species